ensembl:lncRNA
GUUUUUUCUAAUGCCUUCUCAUGCUCUAUGCAUUUAGAGAAAAAUCCUUGCUCAUUCCGAUAACAUUUUCCUGAGACCUGUGGUCUAAAGGUUGUUCUGUAUGAACACAGAUACCUUCCACCUUAUAGGGUUGACCCAGGGCAGAAGAUUGUGUUGGUUUUAAACUCUGAGCGCAAGUGUGUGCUCAGGGCAUCCAGCAUAUCACUGUUCCCCUAAAAGUGGGACACCACAUAUCUUAGUGGUUGAGAGGACAAUCUUACGAUUCAAACAGACCGAGGUUCAGUUUCUGGCCCCAUCACUUAUAGAAGAUAUUUUGAUAAGAUAAUUCAUUUCUCUAACUCCAGAUUGAUUUAUUUAUAAAGUAGAAAUGAUAUGAGGAUCUGGCUAGCUCAUAAAACUAUAAUGAACAUUGCAUGAAAUAAAUUCUCGAGAAAGAGCACAAUUUUGGACAUAUAAUGAGACUCAAGAAAUACCGGUUUAUAUGUUAACCUUGAGCCCCACACCUUGAGAACAAAGCUCAGUCUUACAUGUGCCGAUAAACUGAAUUGUGUCUAUAGGACAGAGUCCAAGCUCAUAGGACACCCCAAGCCGUGUCUGCCGAUGGAGAAAUACGGGUUUUUCCAGCCUAUGUAAGACUCUAGGAGACUCAAUGGCAACCAUUUUAUCCAACUGUAGAGUUUAAUCUAUUCAAGUAUUCUGUCGUUCAGUCAGGAAGUUUUCUCCAACUUCCUGAGCCAAGUAUCUCUCAGCUGGGACUCAUAGCCCCUGAAUUUCUCUCCUUCAGAGAACUUUCUUUGUCACAAUCCCAUCUUUACGUUUGUAAUGUUUGUUUGACUAUUAACCAGCCCGCUCUUCCCAGGCUCUGAGCUCCAUGAGUGCAGGGACCUACAGUUAUACCUAUUUAUCCCCUAGCACAGAACCAGAAAAUAACUCCAUUGGUGGAGCAAAUGUCGAGACACUGAAAUUUCUGAUCACCAAUUACAAUGCGUGGAGGAGUUUUUCCCCAUCACAUCACCAAGCCAUGCUCAGGACACCAGGCCCAGCCACAGCACCGCAAACCUACCCAUACCUCCUGUUCCAAACACUCAGGCUCUUCAGCCCCUGAGUGAAUGCUGAGCCAGCCCAGCCCAGAUUUUGCAGCCUGCCACAUCUACUGGUUUUUGAAUCUUAGUUCCCACAUCGACACCGAAGUCUUUGGAAAAAAAGCCAUGAACUGGGGCCAUCGGGGACUACCCUGCCGGCCCUGGAAAUACCAGAAGUUAAGGUAAGUGUCUCUUAGGGUUUUAGAGAUGCAAGUUUAUCAAAGGAAAUCCUGCUUCUUGCUGUGGGGAGUCAUGCAGGGAAACCUCUUGCCCAAGAAGUGACUCAGUCAGGAAAUGUCAAUAAUUUCAAGAGUUGUAGAUACAUUCUCAGAUGAUAGGCUCACCCGGAUCCAUGAGGCAAUAUUUGAAGGCUAGGGAGAGUCCUAAUCUUUAAGAGGAGGACCGCUCUGCAAACUGUUGUCGAUGCACAAGGAGAUUAGUACAGAAACUGACCGUAAGCUUCUAGAAAAUUUUAUAGUAAAUGAUACAGCUGUGAUGUCAAAGUACACGAUCAUUUCCCCAGGAAUGCAUUUUUAUCAUAUUUUAUAAAAAUAUGGGUUCAUAGCAGAGGUUUUAAAAAUCGGGUCUUUAUCACGGACAAGUUGAGAAGCACAGGUACAGAGAGCUACGAGACCCACCUCUCAGAGGUUGACCCCUGUCAGAAGGAGCACAAAGGUGAUUUGUCCUCUGUGUCUGGGGUGGAGAGGGGUAGGAAGAGUUAGCAAGGAUCCUUCUAGUUUUAUAAUCCAAACCUUAAGAGUUUACUUGGCUGGAGGCCAGCUUCGGAUUCAUGGCAAACUGAUUCUUGGCAAGUGGCAGCCCUCAUUACGUCCCUUUUAUUUCAGCAGGGAGAAAAAAGCAAAAGCACCCUUCUAUAGGGUGUUUGGGAAGGAGGCACCAGCCAUUGUUACUACUAUUUACUGAGUGGCGGAGCCAGCAUUGGAAUCCCACCUGCCUCUGGGCCUUUGCACAUGUUGUUCCUCCUGCCUGGCCUUCCUCAGCUAUCUACCAUCACAGUGAUAGCUGUUUCACUUCCUUCAAGUGACGCUCAUGUAUUUAUCCCUCCAGGUGCCUGUCCUGCUUCUCCCCUCCACUCAUUCAAGUUCUUUAUUGCUCCCUACGCUUCCUUUUCAUGGCAAUACUAACAGAACUAACUGUGCAAUCAAUUGUUUACUUUUGUGAGUUUAAUUGUGAGUUUCCCGGGGGCAAAGACGAAAUCUCUCCUCCUCAUUCUGCCAUCCUCAUUGCCUAGUACGGUUUGACACACAGUAGGUGUUUCACACGUAUAUAGAGCAAAGGAAAGAGUGAAUAAAUAAACAAAUGAAUGGAUGGAUAGAUAACA